rnacentral:rRNA from 1 species
CUUGUCCAUUUACAGGAAUCCAAAGUUGUAAAAGGUUUCCGUCGCGAACCUGCUUAAGGAUCAUUAUUGAAUGUAAUCUGACUUGGUUGUAACUGGUCUCUUUACUGGGGCAUGUGCACGCCUUCUCUGUUCAUCCACACACACCUAUGAACUCGUGAGACGGGUAGCCCUCUCGGGGGCCGUCCUUCUGCUACACUCAAACUCUUAUUUAUAAAUUUGAAUGUAAUUGAUGUAACGCAUCUAUAAACUAAGUUUCAACAACGGAUCUCUUGGCUCUCCCAUCUAUGAACAACGCAGCGAAAUGCGAUAAGUAAUGUGAAUUGCUCAAUUCAUUGAAUCCUCCAAUCUUUGAACGCACCUUGCGCUCCUUGGUAUUCCUCGGAGCAUGCCUGUUUGAGUAUCAUGAAACCUUCAAAAUAAAUCUUUUGUUCAUUCAAUUGAUUUUAUUUUGGACUUGGAGGUCUGCAGAUUCACGUCUGCUCCUCUUAAAUUUAUUAGCUGGAUCUCAGUAAGCUCGGUUCCACUCGGCGUGAUAAGUAUCACUCGCUGAAGACACUGUAAUACGUGGCCGGCGUUGCAGAUGAACUGCUUCUAAUAGUCCAUUCACUUGGACAAUUUAUUUAUGAUCUGAUCUCAAUCAUGUAGGACUACCCGCUGAACUUAAGUAUAUCAAUAACCGGAGGAA